UCUUUUUUAUGACAAACAUACCCGUUUGUCACCCCUAUUUAUUUAUACUUACCACAUAUUUCAUAAUUUACGACAACAAAAAGUUUUCUUCUAUAAGAACAUGAAUUAGACGGAUUGAUAAUCAUAAAAAAAAACUAAUUUAACGACUUCAACAUUGACCCGUUUAAGCAUAUCAUCUCGAAACAUAGAUUUUUGUUCAGUCAUAAAAUAUUUAUCAAUAUCAAUUCAAUCAAC
rnacentral:lncRNA from 1 species